rnacentral:lncRNA from 1 species
AAACAAGUUUAUUUAGAUAGAGGGGACAUAAUUGUUUAAUUGAUUGUUCAUCAAAGUGUGCUCGGUUAGUCUCUCGCAAAUAGACAAUGUCACAAGAUGCUUCAGAAAUUUUAUUUCUAAUGGAGUUCCAUUUCUUAUAAUAGUUGCUGCCUGUCACAUUCCAUGAGAGGACUUUCCAGGACCGAUAUUGUCUUAUAUUAUUCAUUGAUGAAGAUAAUGAGCAGGUAAACUGAGGCAGUCAAUAUGUAACGCAUCCAUAAGAUGUUUGAUGAAAAAUA